UACGUAGGGUGCGAGCGUUAAUCGGAAUUACUGGGCGUAAAGCGUGCGCAGGCGGUUCGUUGUGUCGGCGGGGAAAGCCCCGGGCUCAACCUGGGAAUGGCCGUUGAAACUGGCGAACUGGAGUGUGGCAGAGGGGGGUGGAAUUCCGCGUGUAGCAGUGAAAUGCGUAGAGAUGCGGAGGAACACCGAUGGCGAAGGCAGCCCCCUGGGCUGACACUGACGAUCAGGCACGAAAGCGUGGGGAGCAAACAGG
rnacentral:rRNA from 1 species